UGAGGAAUAUUGGGCAAUGGAGGCAACUCUGACCCAGCCAUGCCGCGUGCAGGAAGACGGCCCUACGGGUUGUAAACUGCUUUUAUACAGGAAGAACACCACCCACGUGUGGGUGACUGACGGUACUGUAAGAAUAAGGACCGGCUAACUCCGUGCCAGCAGCCGCGGUAAUACGGAGGGUCCGAGCGUUAUCCGGAAUCAUUGGGUUUAAAGGGUCCGUAGGCGGGCUAAUAAGUCAGAGGUGAAAGUUUGCAGCUCAACUGUAAAAUUGCCUUUGAUACUGUUAGUCUUGAGUUAUAGUGAAGUGGUUAGAAUAAGUGGUGUAGCGGUGAAAUGCAUAGAUAUCACUUAGAAUACCGAUUGCGAAGGCAGAUCACUAACUGUAUACUGACGCUGAGGGACGAAAGCAUGGGUAGCGAACGGGAUUAGAUACCCCGGUAGUCCAUGCUGUAAACGAUGGAUACUAGCUGUUGGCUUCGGUCAGUGGCUAAGCGAAAGUGAUAAGUAUCCCACCUGGGGAGUACGUUCGCAAGAAUG
rnacentral:rRNA from 1 species